AGAGUUUGAUCCUGGCUCAGAACGAACGCUGGCGGCGUGCUUAACACAUGCAAGUCGAGUGCGCGCCUGUAGCAAUACAGGUGGCGCACGGCGCACGGGUGCGUAACACGUGGGUAAUCUGCCCUCUGAUGGGGAAUAACUCGCCGAAAGGCGAGCUAAUUCCGCAUAACAUUCCGGGAACCUUGGUUCUUGGACUCAAAGGCGUAAGUCGUCGGAGGAGGAGCCCGCGCACGAUUAGCUAGUCGGUGAGGUAAUGGCUCACCAAGGCUAUGAUCGUUAGCUGGUCUGAGAGGAUGGCCAGCCACACUGGAACGGAGACACGGUCCAGACUCCUACGGGAGGCAGCAGUGGGGAAUCUUGCGCAAUGGGCGAAAGCCUGAUGCAGCGACGCCGCGUGGGGGAUGAAGCUUCUCGGAGUGUAAACCCCUUUCGACCCGGACGAAUACCUCGCAAGAGGGGUGACGGUACGGUAUAAGAAGCCCGU
rnacentral:rRNA from 1 species